CGGCUAGCUCAAUCGGCAGAGCGUGAGACUCUUAAUCUCAAGGUUGCGGGUUCGACCCCCGCGUUG
rnacentral:tRNA from 1 species